GGACUACAGGGGUAUCUAAUCCCGUUCGCUCCCCUGGCUUUCGUGUCUCAGCGUCAGACAAGACCCAGUGUGCCGCUUUCGCCACCGGCGUUCCUUCCAAUAUCAACACAUUUCACCGCUCCACUGGAAGUUCCGCACACCCCUAUCUCACUCAAGCCAGUCAGUUUAGAGCGCAAUGCCUCGGUUAGGCCGAGGCCUUUCACACCCUACUUAGCUGGCCGCCUACACACCCUUUAAGCCCAGUGAUUCCGAAUAACGUUCGCACAGUACGUAUUACCGCGGCUGCUGGCAC
rnacentral:rRNA from 1 species